UACGUAGGGUGCAAGCGUUAAUCGGAAUUACUGGGCGUAAAGCGUGCGCAGGCGGUUGUGCAAGACCGAUGUGAAAUCCCCGGGCUCAACCUGGGAAUGGCAUUGGUGACUGCACGGCUAGAGUGUGUCAGAGGGGGGUAGAAUUCCACGUGUAGCAGUGAAAUGCGUAGAGAUGUGGAGGAAUACCGAUGGCGAAGGCAGCCCCCUGGGACUAACGAUGACGCUCAUGCACGAAAGCGUGGGGAGCAAACAGG
rnacentral:rRNA from 1 species